CUGGGGGAAUGGAAACAUGGCGACUUCCAUGGAGGUUCCUGAAGCGUCCUCCUGCUGGGAUCAGGAUCUGCACUUUUUUCCAUUUGUUUAAGGUUUUAAGGAGCACAUACUGAAGAUUCCGGAUGUUGAAUUGUUUUGACUGCUGACUGUUCUCCAGAAUUCUCAAUGAGGUUCAAUGAGGAAUCGUUGUAAGUGAAGCAAGCAUCAUGAUGCUUCUCUGAGCCAUUUUGCAGGUUUUAUCAAGCCAACGAUUUAACUUAGUGACUGGUCCUAACUCCC